GGAACAGGGGCAGAAAAUAGCACACUUUUACUCUACGCAACUGUUGCUUUCGCCUGAUCUUCAGGAAUUUUACUGGGAUAAUUGUCCAAAUGAAAUUUCAAGCAUUCUAUCCAAAUGGUUUGUAAAGAGAAAAGCUCACUCUUUUAGGCUGUGACACAUAAAGG